UGGGGAAUAUUGCGCAAUGGGGGAAACCCUGACGCAGCGACGCCGCGUGGGUGAUGAAGGCCUUCGGGUCGUAAAGCCCUGUCGGAGAGGGACGAUGUGGCGGCGGGUCAAUACCCCGUCGUUUCGACGGUACCUCUCCAGAAAGCACCGGCUAACUCCGUGCCAGCAGCCGCGGUAAGACGGAGGGUGCUAACGUUGCUCGGAAUUACUGGGCGUAAAGCGCGCGUAGGCGGGCCAGCAAGCGAGAUGUGAAAUCCCUGGGCUCAACUCAGGAAGUGCAUUUCGAACUGCUGGUCUUGAGUGCGGGAGAGGGAGGUAGAAUUCCCGGUGUAGAGGUGAAAUUCGUAGAUAUCGGGAGGAAUACCGGUGGCGAAGGCGGCCUCCUGGACCGACACUGACGCUGAGGCGCGAAAGCGUGGGGAGCAAACAGG
rnacentral:rRNA from 1 species